rnacentral:rRNA from 1 species
CUAGGUCUCAGUUCAGAUUGCAGGCUGCAACCCGCCUGCAUGAAGUCGGAAUUGCUAGUAAUCGCGGAUCAGCAUGCCGCGGUGAAUACAUUCCCGGGCCUUGUACACACCGCCCGUCACACCAUGAGAGUUGGAAAUACCCGAAGCCUGUGAGCUAACUUUUAGAGGCAGCAGUCGAAGGUAGAAUCAAUGAUUGGGGUGAAGUCGUAACAAGGUACC